UACGGAGGGUGCGAGCGUUGUCCGGAAUCAUUGGGCGUAAAGGGCGCGUAGGUGGCCUGCUAAGCGUGCGGUGAAAGCCUGGGCUCAACCCCGGGUCGGCCGUGCGAACUGGUGGGCUUGAGCACUGUGAGAGGCAGGCGGAAUUCCGGGUGUAGCGGUGGAAUGCGCAGAUAUCAGGAGGAACACCGAUGGCGAAGGCAGGUCUCUGGGCAUUAACUGACGCUGAGGAGCGAAAGCAUGGGGAGCGAACAGG
rnacentral:rRNA from 1 species